AAAUACCCAGCUCCUCACUUGUAUUCCUUACUUUUGAGAUUAAUGAGAAUUUGAUUUUCUGACCUUUAGAAAUAAUUCUCUCUUGAAAGUCACAGGCUAGAGAGUCCAAGAGACCUCCUCUAGCCACCUUCCAAGCACCCUUCUUCUUUUUCAUUUUCCAUUUCCAUGGUGCUCCAUAUUUCUCUCUCCUCCACGCAUCAGCUUACCACCACUUCAUCAGACACGCGUCAGUGCCUAAUCUGCAUCAGCACCACUUCAACACCUUUCCACC
rnacentral:lncRNA from 1 species